UAGGGAAUCUUCGGCAAUGGACGAAAGUCUGACCGAGCAACGCCGCGUGAGUGAAGAAGGUUUUCGGAUCGUAAAACUCUGUUGGUAGAGAAGAACGUUGGUGAGAGUGGAAAGCUCAUCAAGUGACGGUAACUACCCAGAAAGGGACGGCUAACUACGUGCCAGCAGCCGCGGUAAUACGUAGGUCCCCGAGCGUUGUCCGGAUUUAUUGGGCGUAAAGCGAGCGCAGGUGGUUUAUUAAGUCUGGUGUAAAAGGCAGUGGCUCAACCAUUGUAUGCAUUGGAAACUGGUAGACUUGAGUGCAGGAGAGGAGAGUGGAAUUCCAUGUGUAGCGGUGAAAUGCGUAGAUAUAUGGAGGAACACCGGUGGCGAAGGCGGCUCUCUGGCCUGUAACUGACACUGAGGCUCGAAAGCGUGGGGAGCAAACAGGAUUAGAUACCCUGGUAGUCCACGCCGUAAACGAUGAGUGCUAGAUGUAGGGAGCUAUAAGUUCUCUGUAUCGCAGCUAACGCAAUAAGCACUCCGCCUGGGGAGUACGACCGCAAGGUUGAAAC
rnacentral:rRNA from 1 species